CUCCUCUUAGAGUCGCACCUGGAGUUUCCAGCACUCUACCAGUCUUGACUAUGGGAGGCAGAGUCAAGCAGAGGCAUACCCAUUUCAUUCCUAGCUUGGACAGUGGCUAGCGAGUGGAAGGCAAUCUGCUACAAGU
rnacentral:snoRNA from 1 species